rnacentral:rRNA from 1 species
GACGAACGCUGGCGGCGUGCUUAACACAUGCAAGUCGAACGAUGAAGAAGAGAAACGCGAACUUCGGUUCAAAUUUCACUUCGGAUUAGUGGCAGACGGGUGAGUAACGCGUGAGCAACCUACCUCUUACAAAGGGAUAGCCUCGGGAAACCGUGAUUAAUACCAUAUGACACAUUCAUAAGGCAUCUUAAGAAUGUUAAAGCUACGGCGGUAAGAGAUGGGCUCGCGUCCCAUUAGCUAGUUGGUGAGGUAACGGCCCACCAAGGCGACGAUGGGUAACCGGCCUGAGGGGGUGAACGGUCACAUUGGAACUGAGACACGGUCCAAACUCCUACGGGAGGCAGCAGUGGGGAAUAUUGCACAAUGGAGGGAACUCUGAUGCAGCGACGCCGCGUGAGCGAUGAAGGAAUUCGUUUCGUAAAGCUCUGUUCUAUGGGAAGAAAAGGACUGUACCAUAGGAGAAAGCCCCGGCUAAAUACGUG